AGCUUUACACAGUGGCAGUAUCGUAGCCAAUGAGGUUUAUCCAAGGCACUAUUAUUGCUGAUUGAAAACUUUUCCCAAUACCCUGCCAUGACGACUUGAAAUAUAGUUGGCAUUGGCAAUUUUUGGCAAUCUCUACGGAGA
rnacentral:snRNA from 1 species